UACAGAGGGUGCAAGCGUUAAUCGGUAUUACUGGGCGUAAAGCGCGCGUAGGUGGUUGGUUAAGUUGGAUGUGAAAGCCCCGGGCUCAAGCUGGGAACUGCAUCCAAAACUGGCCGGCUAGAGUACGGUAGAGGGUGGUGGCAUUUCCUGUGUAGCGGUGAAAUGCGUAGAUAUAGGAAGGAACACCAGUGGCGAAGGCGACAACCUGGAGUGAUACUGACACUGAGGUGCGAAAGCGUGGGGAGCAAACAGG
rnacentral:misc_RNA from 1 species